GACGAACGCUGGCGGCGUGCUUAACACAUGCAAGUCGAACGGAAAGGCCCUGCUUUUGUGGGGUGCUCGAGUGGCGAACGGGUGAGUAACACGUGAGUAACCUGCCCUUGACUUUGGGAUAACUUCAGGAAACUGGGGCUAAUACCGGAUAGGAGCUCCUGCUGCAUGGUGGGGGUUGGAAAGUUUCGGCGGUUGGGGAUGGACUCGCGGCUUAUCAGCUUGUUGGUGGGGUAGUGGCUUACCAAGGCUUUGACGGGUAGCCGGCCUGAGAGGGUGACCGGCCACAUUGGGACUGAGAUACGGCCCAGACCCAUACGGGAGGGAGCAGUGGGGAAUAUUGAACAAUGGGCGGAAGCCUGAUGCAGCAACGCCGCGUGCGGGAUGACGGCCUUCGGGUUGUAAACUGCUUUCGCUUGUGACGAAGCGUGAGUGACGGUAAUGGGGAAAGAAGCACCGGCUAACUACGU
rnacentral:rRNA from 1 species